rnacentral:rRNA from 1 species
AUUGAACGCUGGCGGCAGGCCUAACACAUGCAAGUCGAACGGUAACAGGAAGAAGCUUGCUUCUUUGCUGACGAGUGGCGGACGGGUGAGUAAUGUCUGGGAAACUGCCUGAUGGAGGGGGAUAACUACUGGAAACGGUAGCUAAUACCGCAUAACGUCGCAAGACCAAAGAGGGGGACCUUCGGGCCUCUUGCCAUCGGAUGUGCCCAGAUGGGAUUAGCUAGUAGGUGGGGUAACGGCUCACCUAGGCGACGAUCCCUAGCUGGUCUGAGAGGAUGACCAGCCACACUGGAACUGAGACACGGUCCAGACUCCUACGGGAGGCAGCAGUGGGGAAUAUUCACAAUGGGCGCAAGCCUGAUGCAGCCAUGCCGCGUGUAUGAAGAAGGCCUUCGGGUUGUAAAGUACUUUCAGCGGGGAGGAAGGGAGUAAAGUUAAUACCUUUACUCAUUGACGUUACCCGCAGAAGAAGCACCGGCUAACUCCGUG